AGGUUUCCCAGUAUCAGUGAAACCUGCCAACCAGGAAGAAGACUGUUUAUCCUUUGAGGAUGUGGCUCUGUACUUCUACUGGGAGGAAUGGACACUGCUUGAUGACUCUCAAAGGAUCCUGCACCAGACGUUGAUGUCAGAAAUAUGAACACUCAUGUAUUUACUUGACUUAUGCCUUCUGGGAUCCAUGGGAUUACUCAGCUGGAGUCUUGGGGAGAGCCCUCUGUGCCUGCGUUGAGAUUCCUGACUCCAGGUUGUUGGAUCAAAGCGGAGAGUGAAAUAUCACCCUUUGAGCAGAGUCUGUCUUCAGAAGGUGCCAGGCCAUCCACCCUACAACAGCACAUGCUGUGCUGUGCUCAGACACCCUUGCUAAGCAUGGACAAUGUGAUGAUCCUCCAGACCUCCUAUGGUCUUCUAAGGCAUCAAGUGACUUACACUAUUGGGGAUACCCCCAUGAACACUGAGAGUAGAGAGGCCAUUCAGAGAGAGAAGAAGAACUGCAUACGCAGCAACAGUGGCACAUUUUACUAGCACAUCCCACCUCAAUCAACACCGGAUGAUACACACUGGAGAAAAGCCUUUUAAGUGCAGGGAGUUUGGCAAGUCCUUCAGCCAAAAAGUCUUUCUCGUGAAGCAUUUCAGAAUUCACAUCGGAGAGAAGCCUUUCAGUUUCAGUGAGUGUUGCAGAACCUUCAAGCACAACUGCUUCUUUGUUGCUCAUCAGCGAGUUCACACAGGAGAGACACCUUUAUAUGCAAUAAAUGUGGCAAGUCAUACAUGAACAGAUCCAGCCUUUUAUAUCAUUAUUGGGUUCAUACUGAAGAAAAGCCAUAGAAGUAUACUAUAGUAGUUUGAAUAGGUUUGGCCCCAUAGAUCAUGUGUUUGAAUGCUUGGCCCAUAGGGAGUGACACUAUUA
rnacentral:lncRNA from 1 species